rnacentral:rRNA from 1 species
UCGGGCGGUUCCCCCUUCGGGGGGACAGGGUGACAGGUGGUGCAUGGUUGUCGUCAGCUCGUGUCGUGAGAUGUUGGGUUAAGUCCCGCAACGAGCGCAACCCUCGACCUUAGUUGCCAGCAUUCAGUUGGGCACUCUAAGGUGACUGCCGGCUAAAAGUCGGAGGAAGGUGGGGAUGACGUCAAAUCAUCAUGCCCCUUAUGACCUGGGCUACACACGUGCUACAAUGGGCGGUACAAAGGGUCGCGAACCCGCGAGGGGGAGCCAAUCCCAAAAAGCCGCUCUCAGUUCGGAUUGCAGGCUGCAACUCGCCUGCAUGAAGCCGGAAUCGCUAGUAAUCGCGGAUCAGCAUGCCGCGGUGAAUACGUUCCCGGGCCUU